GACGAACGCUGGCGGCGUGCUUAACACAUGCAAGUCGAACGGAAAGGCCCUGCUUUUGUGGGGUGCUCGAGUGGCGAACGGGUGAGUAACACGUGAGUAACCUGCCCUUGACUUUGGGAUAACUUCAGGAAACUGGGGCUAAUACCGGAUAGGAGCUCCUGCUGCAUGGUGGGGUUGGAAAGUUUCGGCGGUUGGGGAUGGACUCGCGGCUUAUCAGCUUGUUGGUGGGUAGUGGCUUACCAAGGCUUUGACGGGUAGCCGGCCUGAGAGGGUGACCGGCCACAUUGGGACUGAGAUACGGCCCAGACUCCUACGGGAGGCAGCAGUGGGGAAUAUUGCACAAUGGGCGGAAGCCUGAUGCAGCAACGCCGCGUGCGGGAUGACGGCCUUCGGGUUGUAAACCGCUUUCGCCUGUGACGAAGCGUGAGUGACGGUAAUGGGUAAAGAAGCACCGGCUAACUACGUG
rnacentral:rRNA from 1 species